AGUGAACGCUGGCGGUAGGCCUAACACAUGCAAGUCGAACGGCAGCACAGUAAGAGCUUGCUCUUACGGGUGGCGAGUGGCGGACGGGUGAGGAAUACAUCGGAAUCUACUUUUUCGUGGGGGAUAACGUAGGGAAACUUACGCUAAUACCGCAUACGACCUACGGGUGAAAGCAGGGGAUCUUCGGACCUUGCGCGAUUGAAUGAGCCGAUGUCGGAUUAGCUAGUUGGCGGGGUAAAGGCCCACCAAGGCGACGAUCCGUAGCUGGUCUGAGAGGAUGAUCAGCCACACUGGAACUGAGACACGGUCCAGACUCCUACGGGAGGCAGCAGUGGGGAAUAUUGGACAAUGGGCGCAAGCCUGAUCCAGCAAUACCGCGUGGGUGAAGAAGGCCUUCGGGUUGUAAAGCCCUUUUGUUGGGAAAGAAAAGCAGCAGGUUAAUACCCCGCUGUGCUGACGGUACCCAAAGAAUAAGCACCGGCUAACUUCGUG
rnacentral:rRNA from 1 species